rnacentral:rRNA from 1 species
CAGUCGCCGCGGUAAUACGAAGGGGGCUAGCGUUGCUCGGAAUGACUGGGCGUAAAGGGCGCGUAGGCGGAUGGCACAGUCAGAUGUGAAAUUCCUGGGCUUAACCUGGGGGCUGCAUUUGAUACGUGUUGUCUAGAGUGUGAAAGAGGGUCGUGGAAUUCCCAGUGUAGAGGUGAAAUUCGUAGAUAUUGGGAAGAACACCGGUGGCGAAGGCGGCGACCUGGUUCAUGACUGACGCUGAGGCGCGAAAGCGUGGGGAGCAAACAGGAUUAGAUACCCGUGUAGUCCCUGUCUCUUAUAC